rnacentral:rRNA from 1 species
GCUUCUUGAGUUGUAGCUUUGCCUGCUAUCUCUUACCCAUGUCUUUUGAGUACCUUACGUUUCCUCGGCGGGUCCGCCCGCCGAUUGGACAAUUUAAACCAUUUGCAGUUGCAAUCAGCGUCUGAAAAAACUUAAUAGUUACAACUUUCAACAACGGAUCUCUUGGUUCUGGCAUCGAUGAAGAACGCAGCGAAAUGCGAUAAGUAGUGUGAAUUGCAGAAUUCAGUGAAUCAUCGAAUCUUUGAACGCACAUUGCGCCCCUUGGUAUUCCAUGGGGCAUGCCUGUUCGAGCGUCAUUUGUACCUUCAAGCUCUGCUUGGUGUUGGGUGUUUGUCUCGCCUCUGCGUGUAGACUCGCCUCAAAACAAUUGGCAGCCGGCGUAUUGAUUUCGGAGCGCAGUACAUCUCGCGCUUUGCACUCAUAACGACGACGUCCAAAAGUACAUUUUUACACUCUUGACCUCGGAUCAGGUAGGGAUACCCGCUGAACUUAAGCAUAUCAAUAAGCGGAGGAA